rnacentral:rRNA from 1 species
UACGAAGGGGGCUAGCGUUGCUCGGAAUCACUGGGCGUAAAGGGUGCGUAGGCGGGUCUUUAAGUCAGGGGUGAAAUCCUGGAGCUCAACUCCAGAACUGCCUUUGAUACUGAGGAUCUUGAGUUCGGGAGAGGUGAGUGGAACUGCGAGUGUAGAGGUGAAAUUCGUAGAUAUUGGGAAGAACACCGGUGGCGAAGGCGGCUCACUGGCUCAUUUCUGACGCUCAUGCACGCAGCGUGGGGAUCAAACAGG